rnacentral:rRNA from 1 species
UUCCGGUUGAUCCUGCCGGACCCGACUGCUAUCAGAGUGAGAUUAAGCCAUGCGAGUUAACGUAGCAAUACGUGGCGCACGGCUCAGUAACACGUAAUCAACAUGCCCAGAGGACGUGGAUAACCUCGGGAAACUGAGUCUAAACCGCGAUAAGUGAGGAUUUCUGGAAUGGUUCCUGACUAAAAUCUAUAUGGCCUCUGGAUUGGACUGCGGCCGAUCAGGCUGUUGGUGAGGUAAUGGCCCACCAAACCUGUAACCGGUACGGGCUCUGAGAGGAGGAGCCCGGAGAUGGGCACUGAGACAAGGGCCCAGGCCCUAUGGGGCGCAGCAGGCGCGAAACCUCUGCAAUAGGCGAAAGCCUGACAGGGUUACUCUGAGUGACUUUCGCUAAGAAAGUCUUUUGGCACCUCUAAAAAGGGUGCAGAAUAAGGGGUGGGCAAGUCUGGUGUCAGCCGCCGCGGUAAUACCAGCACCCCGAGUGGUCGGGACGAUUAUUGGGUCUAAAGCAUCCGUAGCCGGUUCUGCAAGUCCCCCGUUAAAUCCAGCUGCUCAACAGAUGGGCCGCGGAGGAUACUACAGAGCUAGGAGGCAGGAGAGGCAAGCGGUACUCAGUGGGUAGGGGUAAAAUCCGUUGAUCCAUUGAAGACCACCAGUGGCGAAGGCGGCUUGCCAGAAUGCGCUCGACGGUGAGGGAUGAAAGCUGGGGGAGCAAACCGGAUUAGAUACCCGGGUAGUCCCAG